GCGUGAGCGAUGAAGGCCUUCGGGUCGUAAAGCUCUGUUGUCAGAGAAGAACAAGUACCGGAGUAACUGCCGGUACCUUGACGGUACCUGACCAGAAAGCCACGGCUAACUACGUGCCAGCAGCCGCGGUAAUACGUAGGUGGCAAGCGUUAUCCGGAAUUAUUGGGCGUAAAGCGCGCGCAGGCGGUUUCUUAAGUCUGAUGUGAAAGCCCACGGCUCAACCGUGGAGGGUCAUUGGAAACUGGGAGACUUGAGUGCAGGAGAGAAAAGUGGAAUUCCACGUGUAGCGGUGAAAUGCGUAGAGAUGUGGAGGAACACCAGUGGCGAAGGCGGCUUUUUGGCCUGUAACUGACGCUGAGGCGCGAAAGCGUGGGGAGCAAACAGGAUUAGAUACCCUGGUAGUCCACGCCGUAAACGAUGAGUGCUAGGUGUUGGGGGGUUCCACCCUCAGUGCUGACGUUAACACAUUAAGCACUCCGCCUGGGGAGUACGGCCGCAAGGCUGAAACUCAAAGGAAUUGACGGGGGCCCGCACAAGCAGUGGAGCAUGUGGUUUAAUUCGAAGCAACGCGAAGAACCUUACCAGGUCUUGAC
rnacentral:rRNA from 1 species